GUCCAUGAGGGAUAGCUCAAUUGAUAGAGCCUGAAACUCUUGAUCUCAAGCUUGUGGGUUCAAGCCCCAUGUUGGGUG